rnacentral:rRNA from 1 species
CCUACGGGAGGCAGCAGUCGAGAAUCAUUCACAAUGGGGGAAACCCUGAUGGUGCGACGCCGCGUGGGGGAAUGAAGGCCUUCGGAUUGUAAACCCCUGUCAUGUGGGAGCAAAUUAAAAAGAUAGUACCACAAGAGGAAGAGACGGCUAACUCUGUGCCAGCAGCCGCGGUAAUACAGAGGUCUCAAGCGUUGUUAGGAAUCACUGGGCGUAAAGGGUGCGUAGGCUGUUUCGUAAGUCGUGUGUGAAAGGCGCGGGCUCAACCCGCGGACGGCACAUGAUACUGCGAGACUAGAGUAAUGGAGGGGGAACCGGAAUUCUCGGUGUAGCAGUGAAAUGCGUAGAUAUCGAGAGGAACACUCGUGGCGAAGGCGGGUUCCUGGACAUUAACUGACGCUGAGGCACGAAGGCGAGGGGAGCGAAAGGGAUUAGAUACCCUAGUAGUC